GACGAACGCUGGCGGCGUGCUUAACACAUGCAAGUCGAACGGAAAGGCCCUGCUUUUGUGGGGUGCUCGAGUGGCGAACGGGUGAGUAACACGUGAGUAACCUGCCCUUGACUUUGGGAUAACUUCAGGAAACUGGGGCUAAUACCGGAUAGGAGCUCCUGCUGCAUGGUGGGGGUUGGAAAGUUUCGGCGGUUGGGGAUGGACUCGCGGCUUAUCAGCUUGUUGGUGGGGUAGUGGCUUACCAAGGCUUUGACGGGUAGCCGGCCUGAGAGGGUGACCGGCCACAUUGGGACUGAGAUACGGCCCAGACUUCUACGGGAGGCAGCAGUGGGGAAUAUUGCACAAUGGGCGGAAGCCUGAUGCAGCAACGCCGCGUGCGGGAUGACGGCCUUCGGGUUGUAAACCGCUUUCGCCUGUGACGAAGCGUGAGUGACAGUAAUGGGUAAAGAAGCACCGGCUAACUACGUG
rnacentral:rRNA from 1 species